rnacentral:lncRNA from 1 species
AACUUCCUAUCAAUCAAGGAAGGAUACAGUUCAGCAUAUGUCAUUGGAAUCGGGUCAAAAGUUACCCUCUUUCUCUCGUAGUUUCUGGUGCUGGUGUUAUUGUUGUUUCGAGGCUAGUAGGCCUGUUGUUGUUGACGAUGUUGUUGUUGUUAUUGAUGGUGAACUUCUCUAAAAGCAGGUGCUAUGUGAGCCACCUGGUGUUGGUUCACGGCAGGACGUACAUUCUUCCUCUUUACAGAGGGUCUUCUCUUAAUAUGGGAGGACACUGCAUGGGUCUUCCCUUC